AUGAAAGAUAUGCAUAGCAUUGCUAGAUUUUCUUCUGAGAUAAUUCCUGAAUCUAGUACAACUGAUGAAUAUUUCGAACAAUCACAUGAGGAAGUCCUUGAGAAGGAUAACAAUGAAGUUCCUAUAAGGAACAAGAGACAAAGGAUUGCAAAAUCCUUUGGUGAUGAUUUCAUUGUAUACCUUGUGGACGACACACCCAAGACAAUUGCAGAAGCAUAUGCAUCUCUGGAUGUAGAUGAUUGGAAAGAAGUAGUUCAUAAUGAGAUGGACUCAAUUCUUUCUAAUGGAACUUGGGAACUAACUGAUAGACCAUAUGGUUGUAAACCUGUGGGCUGUAAGUGGGUGUUCAAAAAGAAGCUAAAGCCUAAUGGUACUAUUGAUAAGUACAAGGCGCGGCUAGUGGCCAAGGGCUACACUCAGAAAGAAGGCAAAGAUUACUUUGACACCUAUUCACCCGUUGCUAGAAUGACCACCAUUCGAGUGUUACUUUCCUUGGUUGCCUCUUAUGGUCUUAUCAUUCAUCAAAUGGAUGUAAAGACAGCUUUUCUCAAUGGAGAGUUGGAAGAGGAGAUCUAUAUGGAUCAGCCUGACGGGUUUGUGGUAAAGGGUGAAGAGAGAAAGGUGUGCAAGUUGUUAAAAUCUUUGUAUGGUCUGAAACAGGCACCUAAGCAAUGGCAUGAGAAGUUUGAAAGAACUCUGACUUCUGCAGGAUUUGUCAUUAACGAGGCUGAUAGGUGUGUUUACUAUCGCCAUGGUGGGGGCAAUAGUGUCAUAUUAUGUUUGUAUGUGGACGACAUACUGAUCUUUGGUACAAACAUUAAUGCAAUUAAUGAGGUCAAGUCUUUUCUAUCAAAAAGUUUUGACAUGAAAGAUCUGGGAGAAGCCGAUGUAAUUCUAAACAUCAAACUUAUUAAGGAUGAGAAUGGGAUUACAUUAACGCAAUCUCACUAUGUUGAGAAGGUCUUGAACCGAUUCGGUUUUAUGCAUAGCAAGCCUUCUCCAACACCUUAUGAUCCCAGCGUGACACUCAGAAAGAACAAGAAAGAAACGAGAGAUCAAUUAAGAUACUCUCAAAUUGUCGGUUCACUCAUGUACUUAGCUGGCGCUACAAGACCAGAUAUCUCUUUUGCUGUGAGCAAACUGAGUAGGUUCAUGUCCAACCCGGGUGAUGAUCAUUGGCAUGCACUAGAAAGGGUCUUGCGCUAUCUGAGAGGUACUAUGAGUUACGGAAUUACUUAUUCAGGGCAUCCUGCUGUGCUAGAAGGAUAUAGUGAUUCAAAUUGGAUCUCCGAUGUUGAUGUACUUUACGCAACAAGUGGGUAUGUAUUUACUCAUGGUGGUGGCGCAGUGUCAUCGAGGUCUUGCAAGCAAACCAUAUUGACGAGGUCAACUAUGGAAGCAGAAUUAACUGCUUUGGACACAGCUACUGUUGAGGCAGAAUGGCUGCGUGAGCUCUUGAUGGACUUGCUGGUUGUUGAAAAACCUGUACCGGCUAUUCUUAUGAAUUGUGGUAACCAAACGAGCAUUCUUGAAAGAACACACCUAUAUGAGUUCUGA
rnacentral:rRNA from 1 species